UGCGUGCUUUGAGCCUGGCGUGUGAGGUAGAUGGCACACAUUUGGAGAAGAAGUGCCUCACCUUGUGGAUAAUUAAGCCUGCUUUAAAAGCAGGUUUAGGUAAGCUACAUUUGUCACAGAGCUCUUCACUGCUUGAAUCCAUGUUAGCAAGUAUCUCAUGUACGAUGUCAGCUGCAACCACUUCUACUGGGGUUGGAGCUCGGAUACUUUGUGUUUCUGCAGUUGGUUUUAUUUUGCUUUGUUCUGUUAGAGCUGAUUCUUUUGAGAUCUCAUUAUCUUUUUCUGUCAUCUCUCCAUCUGAGCUCCUUGUUGACAGAAUAACAGAAAUCUCUGUGAUUGCUGAUUGCACUGAUAUUUUUGAACCAGUACUUUCUGUACUGGAAUCAGACCCGCUUGUCCCACACUGGCAGCGCAGCUUACGUGCUGCAUACCCUUUCAGGCAUGAGGCAGCACAACAAACCAUGCGGUGUAGUUUUUUAAUACUACUAAAUUUGCUGCUAACAUAAACGGCGGGGUGUUGCGGGAAAUCAGGGCUUUCUUCGAUCAGUGCAAUGGCUGAGCUGACUUUUUCGGAGAUCUCUUCCUCAACCAUCAGUGUCAGCUUGUCAGCGUUCUUAUCUUGGUGUUUUGGGACAUUAAGAGCGCUGGCGAUGGCGGCUGAGAUCGAGUCUCCGAGGGACAGCCUUAUUUUCCCCUCAUCCAUAAACUCUUCCCUUAUCAUGGGUUCCUGGAUAACAGGAAGGGCUAUAUCCAGGAUGCUGGCAGAGGCGAUCUGAAUGAUUUCAGAAAUCAUAUCAGCGAGCACUGCAUGGAUGCCGGAGUCGCAUUUUCCAUUUUCUAUUAUGCUCCACUGAAAUUCAGAGAGCCUUUCGAAGCACCUGUUGAUUGGCGGCAUAAUCUGGUCUGGUGUGACCACGAUUGAAUUUUUAUUUUUGUUGUAUGUUUCCAUUGUUGUCUCACAAAUUAGAUUUUCUUCGUUUGAGUGAAAAGUGUUUGAAUUUUGUUGUUUUAUACAGCAUCGACUGCUGAACGUUUGCAAACAGACGAACACUGACUUCUAAUUUUUCUGUCUGAGAGCCCCAAUUUAUGAGUUUGGUUUUCUGUGACGUUACUGACGGAUCAAAGCAAGAGCAAACGCCUUUGAUCUGUCAGUGACGUCGCAAGGAACGCACGCGCAGGCGCGGCACAUGAUUAAAAGCUAGCGUGCGCUCACAGAUUUGAAUGACUCUUCGGGUGUAUCGUUCGUGACCCGCCAUAAUCCCAGGAUUUAUCGCGAAUCAAAGGUUGGAGGAAGUUUUUGGGGAAAAUGGCGGACGGUCGAAGCGGAGCGGUCCAUAAAAAAGCUCUUCAAAUGUCCAGAGUCAGAGGAGAGUGAGAAGCUGUGAAGGCUCGCUGUCAUCAGAAAGCUGAUGUGGGCGUGGCUCACGCCUUCAGCCAGUGGCAGGUGAGCAUGAAGGACAGCAUGCACCUGAACCAGGUGCUGGGCCUCCCUCUGCCUGAACCAGACGUCGCAUGGUGAGACGUUCUCUUAAAGCGCACUUCCCAAGUUCACAAGGUCGUUUGCAGCUCAGCCCGGGCGCAGGACGAGCUGCGACUGGAUGAUUGGCUGCUGCUGAAAACUUCGUACAAAACCAAGGAGAGUAGGAAUCGCUACAACAAAGUGGACCUGAGCCGGAAGGAGGAGCGCCGAGCCACGGACCUCCUCUGACAGUCGGACAAUCGCUGGAACCACCAUCACCAUCCACUCUGGGCUUCAGCCCACUUUGUAGCUUUACAAAUACAGGCCAUUUACAGAUGAGUUAUGGAUUUGAUGGCCUCUUGUGGGCAGUCCUCCCUCUGUUGACUCAUUCUUUGCUCCAGCACCUCUGCAGGAAAAUGUCAGAGUCUAUGUGUGACAAAUAUCUUCUAUUUUUUAACAAUCUGGGUCAUUUGUGAUUUAACGGGAAACAUGAAUGUAAGUUUUAUAAAAAAGAACCUAGUCUAUAAAGAUUUAAAUGUUUCUGACCCCAAUCUUUUUUUUCCUGUCCUUUCCGAAGGAGAAGAAAAGUGCCCAACAGAUUAUUUUACUGCUCUUGCUAUAUUGGUCCACUUUAUUGUCACUUUUUUUAUUCAGCCUUUAUUAUUUUUAUUAUUUAUUUUGUUUUUAUUUGGAGUUAUUAGAGGACCGGGGGACAGGAAAGAGAAAGAACGAGGGGAAGAGAGAGAGAAGACAACACAGCAGGGAAACCAUGGCAACAACCAACCUCAGCAACAGUAAAUAAUAAACAUAAUUGUUACUGAGAAGCACACAGGACUGAUAAUGCAUAAUAUGUUUAGAGACAGCAGCCAACCCAGACAGUGUGUGUCUCUGAACACCUGUGUGUGUGAGCGCACUUAUGUUCAUAAGGAUUUUCCAUGUAAGUGUCUGAUAGUGGGUGUGGGGAGCCAUAGCCCCGCCCCCCAAGUAAUUGAGGGAGGCAUGGAGGAGAUCCCCUCAUAGCCGAGGAGGACAGACUCAAUUCAGGGCUUAAUAUGACGAAGGUUUCAGGUAUUCGAGCAGCUCGGUGGCAUAACUAUAUUACUGAGGGACACCAGUACUAGAAGGAUCAGUGGGUUUCAUGAAAUCUAUGUAUUUUUUGAUAAAAACAUUGUUAUAAUGUUGCCUUUACACAGGUCUUUAGCAUGAAAUGGUGGUAAUGCUCUUUCUUCUCCCUCUACAGCUUCAUUUAAAGACACUGAUCAGCUCGAGGUGUUGUUAAUAAGCUGUAGGUCAGCGGACAGCUGACCAGAACACCACUCCCUGGCUGUAUGGAUCUAACAGCAGUCGACCCACCUGCUCCCUCAUGCCAGGAGGGACUCUACCUCCCAAGGUUUCUGCACCCAAUGCCUGCAAAUGGAGCACACAUCACAGCAGAGGUCAACAAAGAGGUAGAGAUCCGAAUCAAAGCCCCGGCAUCAUAUUCAGUAAUACAAGAUAUCAUCAUCAGCGGGCCAAUGAAUAUGACCAAACACAGGACCACACAUGAUGAGUUUGUCCUUCGGUGGACGCCAUUAAAGAGUCACCUGGGAGAUCAUUUUCCAGUCUGCUUUGCUGUGGAAUCUGUGACAGGGCUGGGUGUAACCAGCUUUCCAAGUGUUACACAUUCCCACUCACAUGCCAACCCAACCUCACAGUCUGGUGUCUAUCAGUCUGAGAUGAGGUGUGCUAUCUUGGAUGUCAGGAAGGAGGGAAUUAAAACCAAUAUGAUCUGCACUGAGUUCACAAUGAGAGUUGAGAUUGACAAAUCGUCCUUCCGUGGACUCCACAAGGAUCACCUGCGUCUCAGUGAACCCAGCAACACCCUCUGCAGCCUGGAGAGAUACUCCAACAGCACUCACGUCAUCGGCAUCAUCUCCCUCAAUGCUUGCGGCACUCAAAUUGAGGUAACGAGGGCUCAUUUGUGUCAACACACACACCAUUAGUUUUUCUUUUGGUUAACUUUCACACUGAAGACACAAUAAUAUUCUUUAAUCUACAGGAAGAUGAUGAAAACUUCAUUUUUAAGAAUGAAAUCACCACAGUAGAUGACAACACAGAUCUGAUCACCAGGAAACACCAGCUGGAAGUAGAGUUCUACUGCCAGUACCCAAAAAAGGGAAAUGUGAUGGAGGGCUUCACGGCACACAGGAAGAACGUCACAGUGUGGGAUAAAGGCUUCGGCACGUUCACCUACCAGUUUGAGUUCUACCCAAACAACCACUUCCAAAGAAUGAUCCGAAUUCAUACCCUCUGGAGUAUGACGUGGGAGAGAAGAUAUACAUGGAGAUAGAUGCCUCCUCUACAGUAAGCAACACCGAGAUUUUUGUGGAGUCCUGCAGAGCUUCGCCAUAUGACAACCCCAACUACCACCCGACCUACUCCAUCAUCGAAAAUGGGUGCCCAGUGGACUCCACUGUUAUGACCCAUGCACCAGACAACAAGAGACAGUUUAGGUUCUGCAUCGAGGCCUUCAAGUUCAUUGGUUUGCACGAUCAGGUAUACAUCAGCUGUUCACUGAUGGUAUGUGAAGCAGGAAACCCCAACACCAGGUGCUCACAGGGAUGCAUCAACUCCACGUCAAAUGCUCACCACCACUCCCACCGCCGAAAGAGGGGGGCUAUCAUGCAGACUGCACAGCACUUCAUUUCCCAGGGUCCCCUGCGCUUGAAGAGGUCAGCAGACAUCAGCAGGAGUGAAGGGAACACCACGAACCUGAACCUGGUCUUCAUAGCUGGAUGUCUUCUUGCUGGCGUGCUCAUGUUCAGGGCCAAAACAUCAAGGGUCAAAUACCAAGCUUUGUCCUCAAGGGAAAGUUAAAACCCUUCGUGUGCCCCAGUGGAUGAGAUGAAAUUAUUUAGAUCAUCC
ensembl:lncRNA